AUGGCAACGCCCUUCAUCACUUGGCAACGCCCUUCAUCACCUGGCAACGCCCUUCAUCACCUGGCAACGCCCUUCAUCACCUGGCAACCGUCAGACAUCAAAGAGGAGUCCCGUGACAGGUACCCAGGGUGGGGUCUACCAGACAUCGACGUUCUGAGACAGCUCUGUUCCCUACAGGAACCCAGGGUGGGGUCUACCAGACAUCGACGUUCUGAGACAGCUCUGUUCCCCUACAGGAACCCAGGGGGGGUCUACCAGACUACGUUCGGAGACAGCUCUGUUCCCCUACAGGAACCCAGGGUGGGGUCUACCAGACAUCGACGUUCUGAGACAGCUCUGUUCCCCUA
rnacentral:lncRNA from 1 species